rnacentral:rRNA from 1 species
AGUGAACGCUGGCGGUAGGCCUAACACAUGCAAGUCGAACGGCAGCACAGUAAGAGCUUGCUCUUACGGGUGGCGAGUGGCGGACGGGUGAGGAAUACAUCGGAAUCUACUUUUUCGUGGGGGAUAACGUAGGGAAACUUACGCUAAUACCGCAUACGACCUACGGGUGAAAGCAGGGGAUCUUCGGACCUUGCGCGAUUGAAUGAGCCGAUGUCGGAUUAGCUAGUUGGCGGGGUAAAGGCCCACCAAGGCGACGAUCCGUAGCUGGUCUGAGAGGAUGAUCAGCCACACUGGAACUGAGACACGGUCCAGACUCCUACGGGAGGCGACAGUGGGGAAUAUUGGACAAUGGGCGCAAGCCUGAUCCAGCCAUACCGCGUGGGUGAAGAAGGCCUUCGGGUUGUAAAGCCCUUUUGUUGGGAAAGAAAAGCAGCAGGUUAAUACCCCGCUGUUCUGACGGUACCCAAAGAAUAAGCACCGGCUAACUUCGUG